ACGUAGGGGGCAAGCGUUAUCCGGAAUUAUUGGGCGUAAAGAGUGCGUAGGUGGUUUUUUAAGCGUGAGGUGAAAGGCAAUAGCUUAACUAUUGUAAGCCUUGCGAACUGGAAGACUUGAGUGCAGGAGAGGAAAGUGGAAUUCCUAGUGUGGCGGUGCUAGGAGUGGAUAUUAGGAGGAAGACCGGUGGCGCAGGCGGCAUUCUGGACUGUAGCUGCAACUGGGGCAGGAGAGCGUGGGGAACAAACAG
rnacentral:rRNA from 1 species